UGAUCAUGGCUCAGGACGAAACGCUGGCGGCGUGCUAAUACAUGCAAAGUUGAGCGCUGAAGGUUGGUACUUGUACCAAUGGAUGAGCAGCGAACGGGUGAGUAACGCGUGGGGAAUCUGCCUUUGAGCGGGGGACAACAUUUGGAAACGAAUGCUAAUACCGCAUAAAAACUUUAAACACAAGUUUUAAGUUUGAAAGAUGCAAUUGCAUCACUCAAAGAUGAUCCCGCGUUGUAUUAGCUAGUUGGUGAGGUAAAGGCUCACCAAGGCGAUGAUACAUAGCCGACCUGAGAGGGUGAUCGGCCACAUUGGGACUGAGACACGGCCCAAACUCCUACGGGAGGCAGCAGUAGGGAAUCUUCGGCAAUGGACGAAAGUCUGACCGAGCAACGCCGCGUGAGUGAAGAAGGUUUUCGGAUCGUAAAACUCUGUUGGUAGAGAAGAACGUUGGUGAGAGUGGAAAGCUCAUCAAGUGACGGUAACUACCCAGAAAGGGACGGCUAACUACGUGCCAGCAGCCGCGGUAAUACGUAGGUCCCGAGCGUUGUCCGGAUUUAUUGGGCGUAAAGCGAGCGCAGGUGGUUUAUUAAGUCUGGUGUAAAAGGCAGUGGCUCAACCAUUGUAUGCAUUGGAAACUGGUAGACUUGAGUGCAGGAGAGGAGAGUGGAAUUCCAUGUGUAGCGGUGGCGUAGAUAUAUGGAGGAACACCGGUGGCGAAAGCGGCUCUCUGGCCUGUAACUGACACUGAGGCUCGAAAGC
rnacentral:rRNA from 1 species